rnacentral:sRNA from 1 species
AGAUGGCGCCACAAGGGAGACUGUUGCU